ensembl:lncRNA
UUAGGAAACUCAGGUGUUUUAAGUUCGUUUAAACCUGUGACAGGUCUGUGAGUUUCUUGUAAUAAAACAACAUCUGCCUGUAGUUUUUAAAGCUGGUUAAAUAUCUUUAACCUCUUUCCUCUGGUGCCAGCUCCAUUUACAUUCCAUGUGACAAACCUCAGCAUGCCCAUAAUUGUGUGUGUAUGUCUAAUGAUGUACGCUGGGUGUUUCGUUUAGACAGGUGGAGAAAAUGUGGAAACAUCCCUUGUUUGUAAAUAGAAAGAGAGAGAGGAAAAAAAAAAGUGUGGUGAGAGGCUCCAGGACUCUGACUAUGUGUGUGAAUAUUCACUAAUAUGAACAAGCGUGGCUUGUGUUAUGUGUCCUGCAAGUCUGUGCGUGCUGUGAGGCUGUUGUGAAUAUGCUGCCGUUGAGCGGAUGUGUUUGCGUGAUCGUGGUGUGAAAAUAUGGAGAAAUAGAGGGUGUUGUUUGUAGGUGAGUGGGGAAGUAGGUGACCACAGCAGUGAAAGACAAGAGAAAGAAAGAAACCACAUGAACUGUGAGCGACAACAAAAAAAAAAAAAGAAAAAAAGAAACGAAACGGAAACAUUCCAAUUAAAGCAAUGACGGAGGGUGACGGUGUUAUAUCUGCUAUGACAUCAUAUUGAUAUUACUAGGUUAAACCCAUGUUAAAGGAGAAAGUGUGAAUGAAUAAGAAAAGAGUGUAGCGGGUUCUUAUCUGGAGUGCAGUCAAUAUAACCACGGUGUGGUGCCGGGGUCGCGGUAGAGCUGUCCGUCCACGUAGAGCCGGUCCACGGCGACGACAGCACGGGAGCCUUUCUGGAUGAAGCUACGUCGAACUGGGAACAGGACCUUGCGUCGUUCCAGGAUCUCUUUGGGGAACUGGUCGUUCACGCUGAAGUCCGUUCCUUUCAGCUCUCUGCCGCGACUCUUCACCUGUUCCUUCUGUUUGAAUUGACCGAAUUUGGCCACAAUAGGCCGUGGUCUCCCAGUCCGCGACCUCACGCCCC